GCCCAGGUGGCGAAAUGGUAGACGCGCUGGUUUCAGAGACCAGUGUCUGAAAGGACGUGCAAGUUCGAGUCUUGUUCUGGGUA
rnacentral:tRNA from 1 species